rnacentral:misc_RNA from 1 species
AAUUAAAUGCCAAAUGGAAGGUGUGAACCUACGCGGAAUAAAGUUCCUCAUAAUCAUGCGCAUGAAGAGGAGGAGUACAAAAAAUUGUGUGCUUAAAUAUGAUAAGAGUAAUAGUGCUAAUAUUGCAGGAACACUUGGUGGCGAAUUAAGCGCAAUCAGCACUGUAAGAACAGCUUUUAGAAAUGUAAGCAAAAUGUAAGUAUAAAUACAUUUUAAAAUUUUCCAGUUUUUCUUUUAAAUAAAUUAUAUAUUUCGACUUAGAUUGCAAAACGAGGCUAAAGGUAUUGAAUUUUCAAAAAUUAGAAGAGGGCUACAAAAUAUAGUUUCAAAAAAUUAUGUGCCCUCUCCACGAAAUGCUUUAGAAGUUGUUGAGGCAUUUUAUUUGCAAAAAGUGUGGGAAAAUUUUGGGCUGUCUCAGGACAUAGACGACCCCAAACCCUUUUUACAGCCUGUAUCGAUGAAGGAGACUUUUCCUUCUGCAUUUUCUAUCCCAAAAAAGUAUUAAUCUUAUUAAAGAAAAUACAGUAAAUGCAAGACGUACAUAUCUUAUGGAUGCCACUUUCAAAAUUGUUCCACGUGGAUGCUUUAAUCAGCUUUUAAUUAUAUAUAUUAAGUAUUUCCUAUAUUUUUCAUCUUAAUGGAUAAAAAAACAAAGAAGGCUUACGAAGGUGUGUUUCAAUACAUUAAACACAAUAUCUUUGAUAUGGAUCCCGCAGUUUUCAUUACGGAUUAUGAACAUGCACUGAGAAAUUCUCUUAGAACUGUGUUCCCAAAUGCAAGAAAUGUUGGUUGUUGGUUUCACUACUGCCAAGCAAUUCGCAGAAAUAUUACUAGCCGAAAGCCUUUAUUGCAGUAUAUUAUAAGUUCAAAUGUGGCAAGUACAGCGCACAAUGGGCAGAAUGGAAAUUUUUUGGAAAUAAAUCUGGCAUUUCUAAACGGCUGACCCGAUCGGGAUAAAAUUUGGCGUGAGCGUAGCCAAGGAGUAUUCGAGUUUAAGUUUUGAA